rnacentral:lncRNA from 1 species
UGCCUCCUAUGGGGUUUCUUAUAUUAGGGUUAAUAGCCCUUUGUGGUGCCGUAUUUCUCCUAAUGGCAGCGCCUGCCUCCUUUAGGGCUCCAUAAAUAAGGGUUAAUAGCCCUAUGUGGUGCCGUAUUUCUCCUAAUAGCAGUGCCUGCCUCCUAUAGGGCUGAUUAUAUUGGGGCUGAGAGCGCAAUGUGGUGCCGUAUUUCUCCUAAUAGCAGCGCCUGCCUCCUAUAGGGCUCCUUAUAUUAGGGUUAAUAGCCCUAUGUGGUACCGUAUUUCUCCUAAUAGCAGCGCCUGGUUCCUAUGGGGCUCCUUAUAUUGGGGCUGAGAGCACAAUGUGGGUCCCGUAUUUCUCCUAAUAGCAGCGCCUGGCUCCUGUAGGGCUCCUUAUAUUCGGGUUAAUAGCCCUAUGUGGGUCUCAUAUUUCUCCUAAUAGCAGCGCC